UACGAAGGGUGCAAGCGUUACUCGGAAUUACUGGGCGUAAAGCGUGCGUAGGCGGUUUGUUAAGUCUGUCGUGAAAGCCCCGGGCUCAACCUGGGAAUGGCGAUGGAUACUGGCGAGCUAGAGUCCGGAAGAGGUGAGUGGAAUUCCUGGUGUAGCGGUGAAAUGCGCAGAUAUCAGGAGGAACACCAAUGGCGAAGGCAGCUCGCUGGGACGUUACUGACACUGAGGCGCGAAAGCGUGGGGAGCGAACAGG
rnacentral:rRNA from 1 species